UUUCUGUGUACAAAACAUGAGAUUACAUCUCCUCAUCCAGGGAGUACACACACACACACACUCACACACACACACACACACACGCACACAAACACGCACACACACACGGAGGGAAUGUUGUGUUUGUUUAAUAUUGUUUUAGGACUAUGAAAUUGGAUAAAAGGAUGAGCCUAUGGAUUAUGAAAACAACAACAAUAAAUGGGGAAAUGGGAGAAGAGAAAUGACUAGAGACAGUGUUGUUUAACUCACUGUUGCUUCAUAGACCGGUCACUCUUCAUGGACACACAGCUGGGAACAGGGGAGGCUGGUCUCUCCUGCUUGAUUGGACUUCAACACAACAGAGACAAACAUUACAUCUCUCAUCUACUCUGAUCUCAGAUGGGGAAACGAACUUCAUUCCAAAAAGCUAUUUAUCAAUUUUCAGAAAUGUUCAUAAAUUAGCUUUUAUUGUUUAAAGAAGUUGAAAUGAAAUGAAAUGAAACGAAAUGAUGAGAUGGCACGUGGGUACCUGCUUCUAUAAACCAAUGAGGAGAUGGCACGUGGGUACCUGCUUCUAUAAACCAAUGAGGAGAUGGCACGUGGGUACCUGCUUCUAUAAACCAAUGAGGAGAUGCAGCGCGAACUGCGUCACAAAUAGAACUGACUUCUAGACGCUCGUUGACGCGAAUAAUGAGACUAUAAGGAGAACCAGUACUGAGUAAAUGUGCAGGGUACCAGGUAGUUGAGGUAAUAAUGAGACUAUAAGGAGUACCAGUACUGAGUCAAUGUGCAGGGUACCAGGUAGUUGAGGUAAUAAUGAGACUAUAAGGAGUACCAGUACUGAGUCAAUGUGCAGGGUACCAGGUAGUUGAGGUAAUAAUGAGACUAUAAGGAGUACCAGUACUGAGUCAAUGUGCAGGGUACCAGUACUGAGUCAAUGUGCAGGGUACCAGGUAGUUGAGGUAAUAAUGAGACUAUAAGGAGUACCAGUACUGAGUCAAUGUGCAGGGUACCAGGUAGUUGAGGUAAUAUCCACAUGUAGGUAGGGGUAUAAGUGACUAGGCAAUCAGAAUAGAGAUUACAUCUCCUCAUCCAGGGAGUUCAGAC
ensembl:lncRNA